UCUCGUUCAAACUUAUUAAUUGUGCGCCUUAUUGCAACCAUUGAAGGCGAAGUGGAUAAAGAUGGAAUUCCAUGUAUUACCGUAGUGACCGAUGGGGCUUGGGCUAAGAGAUCCUACAAUGUCAAUUAUGAUUCUUCUUCUGGAGUAGUAAUACUAAUAAUAAUAAUAUCAAAAUCAAAAAUAAGUAUUUUCUUUUAACUGUUGACUAAAAACAUUACAUAAAUGAUUAAUGUUUUAAUUUCUAAUUUUUAGGCAUGUAUAGUUGGCUAUAAAACAGGGAAGUUGUUAUUUCUGGGAAUAAGAAAUAAAUUUUGUUCGUCAUGUUCCUGGUACGAAAAUAAAAAAAAAGAUGUUCCAAUACAAAAAUGUCAUAAGAACUGGAACGGCACAUCUACAUCGAUGGAAGCUGACAUAGUAUUGGAGGGCUUUAAAAUAAGCAUGAAGCUUUACAAUUUAAAAUUUACAAAAAUGAUUGGUGAUGGAGAUUCCUAGGUCCACCGAAAAUUAUUGCAAUCAAAGCCCUAUGCUAAUAUGUUGGUGCAAAAGGUGGAGUGCAGGAAUCAUUUGUUGCGAAAUUGUGCCAAGAAAAUUCGAGAAAUAUGUAAUAAAAAACGAAGUAAUUCUAAAAAUGUACCUGUACCAUUGGCGUUAAGAAAAGAAGUUUUGAACAGAUUUUUAAGAUUAAGAAGUUCGAUAACAAAAGCCACCACUCACAGAAUCGCAGAAGACACCACGAUGGACCAAAAAAUUAAAUUGCUAAAGGGGUGACAUCUCUAAUGCCCCAAGUCAUGUAUUUGGGAAACACGCCAGAUGUAAAGAAAUUAAUUACUUUAAGUGUGAUAAUCCAAAUUACACAAAUUUAGUGCCAAGUAUGCAGACUUGUGGAAUUUAUGAAGACAUCUUAGUAGCUUUGCAAAGAAUUAUAGAUAAUGCAAGCAGCCUAAUCCUCAAUACGGACAAUAACCUCGCUGAGCAUUAUAACAGUAUUGUUAGCAAAUUUGUUGGUGGCAUGCGUAUAAAUUUUUGCAAACGAGGUUCAUAUGAAGCUCGCUGUGAGGCAGCUGCAUUGUCAUUUAAUUCUGGUGGUAGCUAUUAUGAAAUCCUUCAUAAAACCGCAAUAGGCACAAGCCCUCGUUCCUUUACUAAGCGGUAUAUUCAGAGAUGUAAAAAGAUAAGGCUGUUUUAUCAAACUAAAAGACUGCAAAAAACAUUAAUUUAAAAAAAAAUAAGAAAACAAAACAAACUCUUCCUGAUACGGACUAUGGUCCUGGACGCGCAUUACGUUCCUUUAGAAAUAAACAGUGACGUUUUUAUUUCGAGGAAAAAUGAAAUCCUAAAAGAUAUGAAAAAACGUCCAGAGGAAAUAAAACAUAUUGAAAAUUCUACAAUUGGCCAGGCUUCUAAUCCAAAAUGGAUACAAGAAAGAUCACAGCGGAUUACUGCCUCAAAUUUUGGCAAAAUAUGUAAAAUGCGGGCAAAAACCUCGCCAUGUGGUGCAACGUUGCUGUAUGGAAAUUUUAGUGGCAAUAAUGCUACAAGAUAUGGAAGUGAAAGCGAGGCCCGAGCAAUUUUAGAAUUUGAAAAUGAAUUUAAUUUAAAAGUGUCUCGAUGUGGAAUUUUUAUAGGUGAACAAGAAUAUUUUUUGGCAGCAAGCCCUGAUGGUUGCAUUAAUGAACAUGGUUUGGUAGAAGUUAACCGAAGCAAUAUUAUCAAAAAAGAUCACAUUCGCUACAUUGGAAAAUAACCACCUACAUUUGAAAAAAAAACCACAAUUAUUACUACCAAGUUCAGGGGCAGUUAGCUAUAGCUAAGAAGCAAUCAUGCUAUUUUAUUAUUUGGAGCCCUCUUGGCAUGUUAGUUGAACAGAUUGGCUGUGAUGAACAAUUUUGGGAAGAACAAAUGUUACCAAAAUUACAAGCCUUUUAUUACCAGAAAUAGUCGACCCGCUUUAUCCAAAAGGGCUGCCUAUCAGAACUUAAAAUUCUUCCGUUGGCGAAAAACCUGUCAACUGAAUCGAUGCAGAAGCUAAUUAAUUUAUUUCCUAAUAUGUAAAAACCUUAAUAAAUAUGUAUAUACGUU